UGAAGUUGGAUUCGCUAGUAAUCGCGCAUCAGCCAUGGCGCGGUGAAUACGUUCCCGGGCCUUGUACACACCGCCCGUCAAGCCAUGGGGAGGCCGGGGGGUGCCUGAAGUUCGUGACCGCAAGGAGCGACCUAGGGCAAAACUGGUGACUGGGGGCUAAGUCGUAACAAGGUACC
rnacentral:rRNA from 1 species